UGCAGGAUCAACCAGGUAGCAUUCCUCGGAGACAUUGAGCCACGAGACGUAAAACGUUUACGAGACAUCAAACGUCAAUCGAAUGGGGCGUGUAAUGCCGAUUCAUGGGUAAAAUAGAGGGUUAUACGACCCUUACCCGCAGCGUUUUCUGAAUCCCCGAAAUCCAGCUCGCUCGUGGGCCGAUACUGCAUAGCGAUUUGUAUGCGGCUCGGAACACAAAGUUCGCCUUGUGGUUUGCCCGGUUCCGCACCGUAUGUUAACGGGCAGCGUUGGGAAAACUCGGGAUAGAUUGCCAAACGAGUUCCAUCGAUGUAGGUAUGCAGCACAGGAAACCGACAACUCGGCCAAGGCAAAAUAGGCUCUUGUGCCAAUAAUGAAUAGGAAUGCACGAGAG
rnacentral:misc_RNA from 1 species